GGGGAUAUAGCACAGUUGGUAGCGCGAUACGUUCGCAACGUAUAGGUCAGGGGUUCGAAUCCCCUUAUCUCCGCCA
rnacentral:tRNA from 1 species